ACAAUAUUUUGCUGUCCAUAUUGUUCCUGGUUGUUAACAAUAUUGUUCAGCAUUGUUCAGCAUGAACAAUAUUGUUAACAACCAGGAACAAUAUGGGCAAAAUAUUGUUC